AGAUUGAACGCUGGCGGCAGGCCUAACACAUGCAAGUCGAGCGGUAGAGAGGUGCUUGCACCUCUUGAGAGCGGCGGACGGGUGAGUAAUGCCUAGGAAUCUGCCUAGUGGUGGGGGAUAACGUUCGGAAACGGACGCUAAUACCGCAUACGUCCUACGGGAGAAAGCGGGGGACCUUCGGGCCUCGCGCCAUUAGAUGAGCCUAGGUCGGAUUAGCUAGUUGGUGAGGUAAUGGCUCACCAAGGCGACGAUCCGUAACUGGUCUGAGAGGAUGAUCAGUCACACUGGAACUGAGACACGGUCCAGACCUCCGUACGGGAGCAGCAGGUGGGAAUAGUGGACAAGUGGGACAAAGCCUAGACUCCAGCCAUCGCCGCGUGUGUGAAGAAGGUCGUU
rnacentral:rRNA from 1 species